rnacentral:rRNA from 1 species
UUUCGCAAUGCCCGAAAGGGUGACGAAGCGACGCCGCGUGAGUGAGGAAGGCCUUCGGGUUGUAAAGCUCUGUCAGGAGUUAAGAAAUAUAAGUGUGCUAAUACCACAUUUAUUUGACAGAAGCUCCAAAGGAAGCCACGGCUAACUCUGUGCCAGCAGCCGCGGUAAUACAGAGGUGGCAAGCGUUGUUCGGAAUUAUUGGGCGUAAAGAGCACGUAGGUGGGUUUGUAAGUCAGAUGUGAAAGCCUUCUGUUCAACGGAAGAAUUGCAUCUGAAACUGCGAGUCUUGAGUGUAGGAGGGGAGAAUGGAACUUCUGGUGGAGCGGUGAAAUGCGUAGAUAUCAGAAGGAACGCCGGCGGCGAAAGCGAUUCUCUGGCCUAUUACUGACACUCAGUGUGCGAAAGCUAGGGGAGCAAACGGGAUUAGAUACCCCGGUAGUCCUAGCUGUAAACGAUGGGCACUAAGUAGAGGGGUUUUA